GACGAACGCUGGCGGCGUGCUUAACACAUGCAAGUCGAACGAAGUGGCGGACGGGUGAGUAACGCGUAAUCAACCUGCCCUUCAGAGGGGAACAACAGUUGGAAACGACUGCUAAUACCGCAUACUGAAGGAGGGGAUUGCGUCUGAUUAGCUAGUUGGAGGGGUAACGGCCCACCAAGGCGAUGAUCAGGAGCCGGUCUGAGGGGAUGAACGGCCACAUUGGGACUGGGACACGGCCCAGACUCCUACGGGAAGCAGCAAUGGGGAAUCUUCCGCAAUGGACGAAAGUCUGACGGAGCAACGCCGCGGGAGUGAUGACGGCCUUCGGGUUGUAAAGCUCUGUUAAUCGGGACGCGGUACCGGAAUAGAAAGCCACGGCUAACUACGUGCCAGCAGCCGCGGUAAUUC
rnacentral:rRNA from 1 species